CUACGGGGGGCUCCAGUGAGGAAUUUUGCGCAAUGGGGGAAACCCUGACGCAGCAACGCCGCGUGAGUGAAGAAGGCCUUUGGGUCGUAAAGCUCUGUCAACAGGGAAGAAGUUACAAUUGUUUAAUAAAUGAUUGUAUUGACGGUACCUGUGGAGGAAGCGCCGGCUAACUCCGUGCCAGCAGCCGCGGUAACACGGGGGGCGCAAGCGUUAUUCGGAAUUAUUGGGCGUAAAGGGCGCGCAGGCGGUCUUGUCCGUCAGGUGUGAAAGCUCGGGGCUCAACCCCGGAAGUGCACUUGAAACAGCAAGACUUGAAUACGGGAGAGGAAAGCGGAAUUCCUGGUGUAGAGGUGAAAUUCGUAGAUAUCAGGAGGAACACCGAUGGCGAAGGCAGCUUUCUGGACCGAUAUUGACGCUGAGGCGCGAAGGCGUGGGGAGCGAACGGGAUUAGAUACCCCUGUAGUC
rnacentral:rRNA from 1 species